rnacentral:ncRNA from 1 species
AAAGCAUAUAAACGCCAAGCCUCCCUCAAGAUAAAGUAUCCCAAUGAGAUUCCAUGUAGACUACAUGGUAGAUAGGUUGGGUGUGUAAGCGCAGUAAUGCGUUGAGCUAACCAAUACUAAUAGAUCCAUCGGCUUGACCAC